AACAUGGCUCUUUUAAGAGCCACAUAACCUUGGUCUUCCAAAUUUU
rfam:Lucilia cuprina strain LS Scaffold78, whole genome shotgun sequence.